UUGCAGAUUUACUUCUUGUCUUUAUGAAGUGAUAUGACGACUCGCUGCCUUCGGUACAGACUUGAGAAAACGGAUGAGGGCAUAAGACAGCUAUUAUGCAAGUCUGCAUGAAUUCUACACUAUAAAGUGGUAAAAGAGGAAACCACAGACUAAUAAUUCACGCAGUGGGUGACAGAAGCUCUGCAAUGCCCAGUGCAGAUACACGAUCUCGGCUGAGAGGGUGCCGCUAACAGCUGCGUCCUUACCAGGAACAAUCCGACCAGACCGUUCAACUGCCACCUGCCAGGCCUUUAUCAUCGCCUCACUGGCCUACAUGUAAUAUUGUGUGUGUGUUGUUGUGUGUGGGACAGAGAGGGUCUGAUGGAUAUGCCGGGUAAGGGGUGCUGAAAUGUAUCAACUGGUAAAGGGAAAGUGAAGACAUGACUAACAUAGCAUCUCUUCACUGUAACUACAGGUUCUACUAAAUGUGUAAGAGUGGGCUGGAGAUCAAACCAUCAACAUUGCAAGUGGUGAGAAAGAAACCACACCGUAGGUAUGCUCAUAUGCAUAUGUGUUAAUUUCCAUAACGAAAGCCAUGCAAAUAAUAACAUCUCUACACAGUAGACAAAUUUUUAGAAUAUGAAAAGUGACUUGAAGUUCAUUUACUUAACAAAAUAUGUAAUAUAAACCCUCAACUCUUCUUUGGAAUACACUUCAUGUAACUGGAUGUGUCUUUUCUGAAUUCAUAUUAUAAUAAAAAUUUGGUGCCAAUUUGAACUAGAUGACUUUUCCUGAUUUUGAUUAGAUGCAGCUGGGUUGUUUCUCUUGCACACUCCUUGAUCCAUCUCCUCAUAAAUCUGUCCCCUCAUAAUCUUCCUUCAGCCUGCUGCACAAACAAUGCAGAUGUAAAAAGAAUGAAGGCUUUGUUUAGGUUAGCUUAAGCGUAGCUUAAAUCUUAAAUCAUCACAGCUCUCUUAGGGCUCAGAGAGACUAAUCUCCUCACAUGUCUUCA